rnacentral:rRNA from 1 species
UCGUAACAAGGUUUCCGUAGGUGAACCUGCGGAAGGAUCAUUACUGAUUUGCUUAAUUGCACCACAUGUGUUUUUCUUUGAAACAAACUUGCUUUGGCGGUGGGCCCAGCCUGCCGCCAGAGGUCUAAACUUACAACCAAUUUUUUAUCAACUUGUCACACCAGAUUAUUACUAAUAGUCAAAACUUUCAACAACGGAUCUCUUGGUUCUCGCAUCGAUGAAGAACGCAGCGAAAUGCGAUACGUAAUAUGAAUUGCAGAUAUUCGUGAAUCAUCGAAUCUUUGAACGCACAUUGCGCCCUCUGGUAUUCCGGAGGGCAUGCCUGUUUGAGCGUCGUUUCUCCCUCAAACCGCUGGGUUUGGUGUUGAGCAAUACGACUUGGGUUUGCUUGAAAGACGGUAGUGGUAAGGCGGGAUCGCUUUGACAAUGGCUUAGGUCUAACCAAAAACAUUGCUUGCGGCGGUAACGUCCACCACGUAUAUCUUCAAACUUUGACCUCAAAUCAGGUAGGACUACCCGCUGAACUUAAGCAUAUCAAUA